CUCUCAACCCCCUUCCCCAUGUCCAGAAUAAACUCUAUUCUAUACUAUACAGUCAUAUGGCUGGUCUCUCAGGGGGAAGGGAUGCCUCAGCGUGGGCCCACAGAUGCACCCCCUUUCCCCACACUUCACCAAACCUCCACCAAAUACAUUCCUUUUCUCUUUAUUGUAUUCUAUUUUAUUUUAUUUUAUUUUUAAUAAAACACAGCAGCCGGGCCUUCAGGGCAGGCCUGGGAACUGACAGCUUCCACCUUUAGGCAAAACCAAACACUGCCCCACACUCCCCGACCAUGCUUCCUCCUACCAGUGGCCUCCAAAGCUUCUUUCAUGUGCUCUCCGCUGCUCUGGCUGUAAAUUCAUUUCACUGGCAAAUUCAGUAAAUUCCACCUUCAAAGCAUCAGCAUUUCUUUUCUUUGUUUGAAUCAGGGAUUCCUGUGCUGCCAAGGCUGGCCUCGAACUCCAGAUGCUUGCCCUGCCUCAAGUGGCAGGCUUCCAGGCAUGCACAAUGCGGGGGCGGGGCAAGCUAUGCCUGAUUCCUGCUGCUUCUCAUCCCUCCCACCCCCAGCAUCCGUCUCUCACUGAUCUUAGUGCCUCUUCCUAGCCCCAGCUCCCUGUUAUACCCUUUCCCUCCAGGUGGUGAAGGCAGCCAUCUCCACAAACCUAAAUCAGAACAUUUUAUUCCUCAAUUCAAGAGGAGGUAUGUAGAGGUGUCUUGUCACUCUUUGGUUAAAUCUGAGAACCCUGCUAUGCAUUAAAAGAUUCUCUGCUGCCACCUGUCCUCUCUGACCUCAGUGACCUCUGUCCUUUCCUCUGCUCACAGAAUUGGUUUCCUGGACACACUACUGACCCAGGGCCUUUGAACCUGUUCUUCCAACCAGCCCUUGAGAUAGUAAUACUACUCAGUUCACUCAUUCAGUUUUCUGUUCAAUUUUCACUUUCUUAAGAAAGAAUUCUUAGUACUAGGUCUAAAAACAGAGCAUGGUCUUCCUUUGGUUGCUUUUAUUUUUUCUUCCAUAACAAAGACCUGAAUGGUCUGUUUUUGUUGUUGUUGUUGUUGUUUGUCUGGUGUUUGUUUGUUUGGGGCCUGCUUCCUACACUGGAAUACAAGUGCCAGCAAUGAGAAAAUCCUGUCUUGAAUCCUGGCGUCACCCCAAGCUCCUGAAAGAGGGUGACAUACAGGAGGUGGGCAUUGAUCGGAUGGAGUUAUCACUGGCCCCAGAGAGAGCAUUCAUCACCCAAGACCUUUCAGGGCAGAUGGGAAAUCUCAGACCUCAGCUGAUAUACGCCGGGCAGCAGCUUGUCUCUGAGCUGACGCUGUCAAAGGUCCCAGAGGGAUCAAAGACUCCGGGGUGUAGGAGGGGGUUCCCAUGUGCUCUUCCUUAACAUCAGGGCAGAGAGCAGCCUCUUCAUUUUCCUGUCAGUUUGUCUUCCUGAGAACAAUAGAAGGAAAAUUGGGGCAAUCGAUGUCCCACAUGUAGUAUACAAUGACAGGGACAAAGAAGUAUUUUUUUUUUCCUUUUUAAUAAACUAGAAGACAAAGUUGAUCAUUUUGCUUGCUGCCUGGAGCACAGUAAGUACACAGUGAAUAUUGAAUGUUUGGACAAUGUCUUCUCUGAGUCGAUGAAGCUUCUGUGUGUGCUUACUACACUGUAGGCACCGUGUAAAACGGCUCACACAUUAAAGAUACCAAGAAAGGAGGGGAUGGUCUCCAUCUCUGCCAAUCAACUCAGAAAACCCUUGUUAGAGUAGAAAGGACUUCUGAUCCAGAGAAUAGAAACUCUGGCCUGGUUGGAGAUCUAACAUUCCAACUAGGCCAAGUUAAUCACCUGGCCAAGGGACCACCCCUAGGAAGAUGUACUCCCCUUAGGUUAUGCUAAAGAGAUAAGAGUAUAACUGGCCCUUCCACUGUGUCUCCUUCCCAGAAUCCAUGACCCUAUAGGAGCUGACAAGACAGUCAGGUAGGGUGUAAUCUGGAUUAGAAAAGCAUAACUUCUCUCUUUCUCUCUUCUCUUUAAGCACACUUUCCUUAACAGACCAGAUUUCCCUGAUCCUCCACCAUCCUGUUCUGUCUACAGCCUCCUGCCCUGUGGCUGUGUGGGGGCCAAGUGUCUGACCUCUGCGGCAGCUCACAUGGCAUGGCUCUCCACCUGCAGUUCUCACUUCACUCUCCACACAGAUUUAUAGUUCACCUGCCCUGGGAGGCUUUUCCUUUAAACUCUAAUAAAAUUGUCCUUGAGCUUCCAUUUAAGCCCAUUCUUAAGUUCUCUUAUUAAUGGGUCCAAGAACCCCACUUUCCCAGAAUCCCUCAUCCCUACCCACCCCCCUCUCCCAUACUGUGGCUCUGAAAAGAAAGGAAUCAAUUCUCUCUUUGGACCUGAUCUAUUUUAAACUACUCUAAAAUCAAUGCAGGCUUGUUUUAAGAAAAAAAAAUCUUAAAUUACAAAAAAGCAAAAGAGAAGAAGAAAAAUAACCUGUGAUUUUUUUUUACCACCCAGAGAUUCUCACCGUUAGCACGCUGGGAUAAGGUAUGGCCUCCCUGUGUUUUCUUUGUGUUUUCAUGGAGUCUUGACACAGAAUUCUCCCUCUCUCUUUAAAACUUAAUACGGUAAUAUAAGCACCUCUGCGUGCUGUUCACAGCUCAGUGAACACCUUUUUUUUAAUAGCCGUGUGCCAUCUCAUCUCAUCUCCCUGUGGUAGCCCCGUUAACUCCUUUUCUAUCUUUUAAGAUUGUAAGGAACACGGCACUCAGCUUCCUCCUGCCCCCAUCUUCCUGCUGCUGCUGGGACUUGAGGAGUCCCCACCACGCGAUAACUAGUUCUAAGGGAUAUGGACUCUUAAUGCGUUUUGCGAGAUUUCAUUUUGAUUUCUAAAACUGCUUGAAUGUGUCUUCCACAAAAGAGCUCCAGCAAAGCAGAUUGCCUGGAAGAAUUUACUUCCCGUGUUGAGGCGUACAGGCCCGCAGUGUUUUAGCACCCAGUUUAAAUGAGCAGAUUACAGCCCGUCUCCUCUUCCAGCCUCUCCUCUUGCUAAUAAAAUGCAGCAACGGCGCUGUAAAAAAAUCUUUCUUUGGUAAACAACGACUUUUGCUGUUCUCAGGGAUUGUUUUUGUAGAGUCUUCCUGGCAGAUACUGGGUUUAUGCUGAGAACUUUGUGUUGUAUUUUUGCACGCCUGUUUAGGGUGUCUUAAGGGUUUAGUUCUGCUCUAUGGAUUAUUUUUUCUUUCAUUCUCAGCCUAGGGAGAAGGUUCAGUCGGUGAGAGUGCUUGCUCUGAAAACAUAAGGACUCUAGUUCAAAUCCCUGGCACAUACAUGGAGAGCUGGGCGUGUCUGAAGCCCCCACUGCAGGGCAACAACAGGUGGAUUGUGACAAUCCAUUGACCCAGAAAAGUGAACUUCAAGGUGAUAAGGCAGAGUGAUCCAGAAAGACACUUAAGAUAGUAUUCUGGUCUCCAUGUGCAUACAUACAGACAUGUAUGCCUGUAUAUUCAUGUGCAGGUAACACACACACACACACACACACACACACACUCAGAUUCCCCACAUGAAUACAUACAAAUAAUUUUAAAAUUUUUUAAAGGGGGUCUACACUUUGCAGCAAUAGGACCUCUACCGACCAACCUGUCUUUGUCUUGUCCAAAGGACUGUGACUACCUUGCAGGGUUCACCCUUGAGAACAGCAUGUGGGUAAGGUUUUCUUUAUAAGACUGGCCAGCCUGGUGAGGGCCUGGCUAAAGAUGGACAGUUUGUAAAUUAAGGAACCCAUGCAAUAGCAGGUCAGGAAAGGGACUGGACUGCCAACAUCUGGAAAAGCCGAGGGAUACGUGAUGACUUGGAAGAGAAUCAUCUCCUUCUGUCUUAUGGCCAGCACGCACGGGACAGUGUUAGAAAGGAUGCCGACGUCUCUUAUGUGUCAUGAAAAGAAGUCCAUUCUGAAGAGCGAGCUGUAAAGAAACACAGACAGUUUGAUCCUGUGUUUGCUACAGAGCAGCACAGCAUCGGCAGAUGUGGCCUAUUUACCUGGAGCGCCCAGCACCAGUGUAGGAUCUGCAGCCCAGAAGUGGAGUUUGGGAGAGAAACUGCAGAGCAGAAGCAUGACUGAAGGCCGAGCCCCAAGGCUGGAACAACAGAGAC
rnacentral:lncRNA from 1 species